UACAGAGGGUGCGAGCGUUAAUCGGAAUUACUGGGCGUAAAGCGUGCGUAGACGGUUAUUUAAGUCGGGUGUGAAAGCCCCGGGCUCAACCUGGGAAUUGCAUUCGAGACUGAAUAGCUAGGGUACGGUAGAGGGAAGUGGAAUUUCUGGUGUAGCGGUGAAAUGCGUAGAUAUCGGAAGGAACAUCAGUGGCGAAAGCGACUUCCUGGACCAGUACCGACGUUCAGGCACGAAAGCGUGGGGAGCAAACAGG
rnacentral:rRNA from 1 species